UAAUACGUAGGUGGCAAGCGUUGUCCGGAAUUAUUGGGCGUAAAGCGCGCGCAGGCGGCUUCUUAAGUCUGAUGUGAAAUCUUGCGGCUCAACCGCAAGCGGCCAUUGGAAACUGGGAGGCUUGAGUGCAGAAGAGGAGAGUGGAAUUCCACGUGUAGCGGUGAAAUGCGUAGAGAUGUGGAGGAACACCAGUGGCGAAGGCGGCUCUCUGGUCUGUAACUGACGCUGAGGCGCGAAAGCGUGGGGAGCAAACAGGAUUAGAUACCCUGGUAGUCCACGCCGUAAACGAUGAGUGCUAAGUGUUAGAGGGUUUCCGCCCUUUAGUGCUGCAGCUAACGCAUUAAGCACUCCGCCUGGGGAGUACGGCCGCAAGGCUGAA
rnacentral:rRNA from 1 species